CCUAGAAAGCCCCCUUUUCAUCUGACCAGAAGACGCUGGAGUGAGUUUCCUGUCAGAGUUCAAGUUCACUUUAAGGACAGCCAGAACAAGCGGAUAGAUAUCAUACAUAAUCUGAAGCUGGAUAGAACUUACACUGGUUUGCAGACGCUGGGUGCAGAGACGGUAGUGGAUGUUGAACUUCAUCGGCAUUCUCUUGGAGAAGACUACAUUUAUCCUGAGUCAGACAUCUCUGAUGCUCCUGCAUCAUUGACUGUUCCAGCCCCAGAGAAGGCUUCUUCACCAAUAGCACAGUCCCUCGAGCCUCUGUCCGAUGCCUCUGUGGG